rnacentral:rRNA from 1 species
GGCGAACGCUGGCGGCGUGCUUAACACAUGCAAGUCGAACGGUAAGGCCCUUCGGGGUACACGAGUGGCGAACGGGUGAGUAACACGUGGGUGAUCUGCCCUGCACUUCGGGAUAAGCCUGGGAAACUGGGUCUAAUACCGGAUACGAAUCCUGCAGGCAUCUGCGGGAUUGGAAAGUUUUUCGGUCAGGGAUGGGCCCGCGGCCUAUCAGCUUGUUGGUGAGGUAGUGGCUCACCAAGGCGACGACGGGUAGCCGGCCUGAGAGGGCGACCGGCCACACUGGGACUGAGACACGGCCCAGACUCCUACGGGAGGCAGCAGUGGGGAAUAUUGCGCAAUGGGCGAAAGCCUGACGCAGCAACGCCGCGUGAGGGAUGACGGCCUUCGGGUUGUAAACCUCUUUCAGCAGGGAAGAAGCGAAAGUGACGGUACCUGCAGAAGAAGCACCGGCUAACUACGUGCCAGCAGCCGCCGUAA